UGCCAGCCGCCGCGGUAAUACGGAGGUCCCAAGCGUUGUUCGGAUUUACUGGGCGUAAAGGGAGCGCAGGCGGAUAGAUCAGUUUAAAGUGGAAGCCCGGGGCUUAACCCCGGAAGGCCUUUGAAUACUGUCUAUCUUGAGUAUGUGAUGGGAAUGCGGAAUUCAAGGUGUAGCGGUGAAAUGCUUAGAUAUCUUGAGGAACACCAAUGGCGAAAGCAGCAUUCUGGCACACUACUGACGCUGAGGCUCGAAAGCGUGGGGAGCGAACGGGAUUAGAUA
rnacentral:rRNA from 1 species